rnacentral:rRNA from 1 species
GACGAACGCUGGCGGCGUGCUUAACACAUGCAAGUCGAACGGUGAAGCGCCUUCCUUUUUGGUUGGUGUGGUUGAGUGGCGAACGGGUGAGUAACACGUAAGUAACCUUCCCCCUUCUUCUGGAUAACCGCAUGAAAGUGUAGCUAAUACGGGAUAUUCUGGGUCUGUCGCAUGAUGGGUCUGGGACAGAUGUUGGUGCGGUGGUGGAUGGGCUCGCGGCCUAUCAGGUUGUUGGUGGGGUGAUGGCCUACCAGGGCGGGGCCGGGUAGCAGGCCUGGGAGGGUGGACGGUCACACUGGGAGUGCGACACGGCUCAGACUCCUACGGGAGGCAGCAGUGGGGAAUAGUGCACAAUGGGGGAAAGUCUGAUGCAGCGACGCCGCGUGAGGGAUGGCGGCCUUCGGGUUGUGAACCUCUUUCGCCAGUGAAGCAGGCCUGCCUCGUUUGUGGGUGGGUUGACGGUAGCUGGAUAAGAAGCGCCGGCUAACUACGUG